AUCGUUCGGGGAGCUUGUACGACAGGCUGAGAGGAAGAUAGACGAUCUUCGACCCUAUUACCUGAUUUAGAUAAUACUAACGUAGGGAAUCGA
rnacentral:ncRNA from 1 species